GGUUAAGCGACUAAGCGUACACGGUGGAUGCCCUGGCAGUCAGAGGCGAUGAAGGACGUGCUAAUCUGCGAUAAGCGUCGGUGAGGUGAUAUGAACCGUUAUAACCGGCGAUUUCCGAAUGGGGAAACCCAGUGUGUUUCGACACACUAUCAUUAACUGAAUCCAUAGGUUAAUGAGGCGAACCGGGGGAACUGAAACAUCUAAGUACCCCGAGGAAAAGAAAUCAACCGAGAUUCCCCCAGUAGCGGCGAGCGAACGGGGAGGAGCCCAGAGCCUGAAUCAGUGUGUGUGUUAGUGGAAGCGUCUGGAAAGGCGCGCGAUACAGGGUGACAGCCCCGUACACAAAAAUGCACAUAUUGUGAGCUCGAUGAGUAGGGCGGGACACGUGGUAUCCUGUCUGAAUAUGGGGGGACCAUCCUCCAAGGCUAAAUACUCCUGACUGACCGAUAGUGAACCAGUACCGUGAGGGAAAGGCGAAAAGAACCCCGGCGAGGGGAGUGAAAAAGAACCUGAAACCGUGUACGUACAAGCAGUGGGAGCCUCUUAAUGGGGUGACUGCGUACCUUUUGUAUAAUGGGUCAGCGACUUAUAUUCUGUAGCAAGGUUAACCGAAUAGGGGAGCCGAAGGGAAACCGAGUCUUAACUGGGCGUUAAGUUGCAGGGUAUAGACCCGAAACCCGGUGAUCUAGCCAUGGGCAGGUUGAAGGUUGGGUAACACUAACUGGAGGACCGAACCGACUAAUGUUGAAAAAUUAGCGGAUGACUUGUGGCUGGGGGUGAAAGGCCAAUCAAACCGGGAGAUAGCUGGUUCUCCCCGAAAGCUAUUUAGGUAGCGCCUCGUGAAUUCAUCUCCGGGGGUA
rnacentral:rRNA from 1 species